CCUGGUCUUCGGCAGGGGAAAUACCCACUUUCGAAGCCGCUCCUUUGCGCCCUAAAACAAGUAGCCCCAACGUGAGAGAAACAAAAGAUCAUGCAUGAUCUUAUGGUUCGUGAGUUUGAGCCCUGCAUCGGGUAAACGUGAGCCCUCAUCGGAUGAACGCGAGCCCUGCUUCAGCCAGUAUCCUCAGGUGUCCUUGGAGAUGAACUGAGGCUUUCUGCCAACAGCCAUGAGAGUAUGCCACCUUGGAAUGGAUCCUCCAGCCCCAGACAAGCCUUCAGCAGACUGCAGUCCCAGCUAACAACUUGAGUGAAACCUUGCAAGAGACCCUGAGCCGGACCAACCAGCUAACCUGCUUCCAGAUUCCUGACCCUCAGAAAUCUGAAGCUCAAGGCAGAGAAGGGUUUAUCUUGAAGAGCUUUGUGAGGAUACCUUUUCUCUAAUGGAGUGAACCUCAAGAAGAUUUGCGAGAGCCCCAUGUUUUUCAGAAGUGUUUGGAAGAACGCUGCCCACUUGGACUGAAAGGAUCAGAGGCAAUACAAAAUGAAAAGACACCUUCUGACCCCCAAAAUUCUGCUGGUAGAAUGCAAUCUGUGAAAACUACAU